CUCUUGAGAGUGAUGGUUCUCUAAAUGAUCCUUUUGUUCCUAAUGAUUUUGUAGCUGAUGGUUCUCAUCCUAUGUCCUUGGAAAUAUCUAGUGAUGAUGGAGGGCUUGACAAAGCUCUCUUUGACUUCUAUAUGGAUCAUAAAGUGAAAUGUUUGAAGAGGAAGUUAUCAAGUGCUGGAAGAAGAAAUGUGG